AUAUCCAAUAGCACAAUAUUGCGCAGUAGCAAGAAAUUGUCAAUUGUACAGUAUUGCACAAUAGCAAGAAAUAUUCAAUUGCACAGUAUUGUGCAAAAGAAGAUACUUCGUAUAAAUUGCUUAUUUCUUGAUCAAUUUCAAUGGGGUUUUAUUCUUGAAUUUUUGGGGUUCUUUAAUAUGCUGAAUCUAACCGUGUAUUAAGUUUUUGGAUUUUGGGCCCCAUUUUUAAAUUGGUCCACAUUGAGGUCCAAAGGGUCCAAAAUUUAACUUUGUUUGAUUUCAUCAAAAAUUGAAUUAUUGGGGUUCUUUGAUAUGCCGAAUCUAACCGUGUAUUUAGAUUCUUAAUUAUUGGUUCCGUUUUCAAAUUGGUCUACAUUAAGGUCAAAAGGGUCCAAAAUUAAACUGAGUUUGAUUUUAACAAAAAUUGAAUUUUUAGGGUUCUUUGAUAUGCUGAAUCUAAACAUGUAUUUAGAUUUUUGAUUAUGGGCCCAGUUUUCAAGUUGGUCCAAAUCGGGGUCCAAAAUUAAACUUUGUUUGAUUUCAACAAAAAUUGAAUAUAUGGGGUUCUUUGACAUGCUGAAUCUAACCAUGUAUUUAGAUUUUUGAUUUUUGGGCCCCGUUAUCAACUUUGUCCACAUUGAGGUCAAAAGGGUCCAAAAUUAAACUUUGUUUGAUUUCAUCAAAAAUUGAAUUCUUGGGGUUCUUUGAUAUGCUGAAUCUAACCAUGUAUUUAGAUUUUUUAUUUGUGGACCCGCUAUCAAAUUGGUUCAUAUUGAGGUCAAAAGGGUCCAAAAUUAAACUUUGUUUGAUUUCAUCAAAAAUUGAAUUAUUGGGGUUCUUUGAUAUGCCAAAUCUAACCGUGUAUUUAGAUUUUUAAUUUUGGGUCCCGUUUUUAAAUUGGUCUACAUUAAGGUCCAAAGGGUCCAAAUUAAACUUAGUUUGAUUUUAACAAAAAUUGAAUUCUUGGGGUUCUUUGAUAUGCUGAAUCUAAACAUGUGUUUAGAUUUUUGAUUAUGGGCCCAGUUUUCAAGUUGGUCCAAGUUGGGGUCCAAAAUUAAACUUUGUUUGAUUUCAACAAAAAUUGAAUAUAUGGGGUUCUUUGAUAUGCUGAAUCUAAACAUGUAUUUAGAUUUUAGAUUUUUGGCCCAGUUUUCAAGUUGGUCCAAAUUGGGGUCCAAAAUUAAACUUUGUUUGAUUUCAACAAAAAUUGAAUAUAUGGGGUUCUUUGAUAUGCUGAAUCUAACCAUGUAUUUAGAUUUUUUAUUUGUGGGCCCGCUAUCAAAUUGGUUCAUAUUGAGGUCAAAAGGGUCCAAAAUUAAACUUUGUUUGAUUUCAUCAAAAAUUUAAUUAUUGGGGUUCUUUGAUAUGCCAAAUCUAACCGUGUAUUUAGAUUUUUAAUUUUGGGUCCCGUUUUUAAAUUGGUCUACAUUAAGGUCCAAAGGGUCCAAAAUUAAACUUAGUUUGAUUUUAACAAAAAUUGAAUUCUUGGGGUACUUUGAUAUGCUGAAUCUAAACAUGUGUUUAGAUUUUUGAUUAUGGGACUAGUUUUCAAGUUUGUCCAAGUUGGGGUCCAAAAUUAAACUUUGUUUGAUUUCAACAAAAAUUGAAUAUAUGGGGUUCUUUGAUAUGCUGAAUCUAACCAUGUAUUUUGAUUUUGGACAUUGGACCAUAAUAGGUAAAUUAAAAAAAUUGAAGUUCUUAGACCACAUUCU